UCAGCCUUAGAUUCCAUUUCUUGUUCUUAUUGUUUGUCAUAGAUGGAAAACGAUUGUAGCCUUCAAGUAUGCCCAUUUGGAAGAAUCCACCUAUGCAAGAUAUAUUAACAUGUUGCCUCUUGGACUACCUCUUUUAUGUUCCUUUUUUUCCCCCCUUUGGUUGAGGAAGGAAUCAAGCUCCAAAUGAAGGCAUACAAAGGACUAAGCACAAGGCUUAGGAAUUACUGACUACCCC
rnacentral:lncRNA from 1 species